GAGCAUGGCCCGGGGUCCGCUGGCCGCCGGCGGACUCCGGCUGCUGCUGCCGCUCCUUCCGCUGCCGCAGGUGGCGCUGGGCUUCGCGGACGGCAGCUGCGACCCCUCGGACCAGUGCCCGCCCCAGGCCCGCUGGAGCAGCCUGUGGCACGUGGGGUAAGUGGAGGCCGCGGCGGAGCCGUGCGUCCGACGAUUCUGGGGCGGGGGUCACCGGGGCCAGGCCCGCCAGGCCCUUACCUCACCAGGCCGCCUCCGCUGUCGUCCAGUCCCGGCCGCUGGCGGGAACUGACCUCGAGCAAGCAGGACCUUCCCUCCCACCUCUCCCGCCUGGCCUCCGCGGGAGUCCCCUACGAUCCCGCUCAGCAGUGGGGCAGUCGCUGAGGACAGCGAGUGCUGGGAGUGAGCCCAAGGCCACCCCUGGCCAGCCCGGGAGAGACAGCCAGGGCAGGCCCAGCAGCCCGAGGCCAGGCUCUGGCCACGGCGGUCUCCGACAUGGAGAGACAUUGUCUGCUUUUUAUCCUGUUAACCUGUCUUCGGUGGUUGUGCCACGACAUUCCCCAGGGUGCAGGUGCCCGGUGGCCGAGGGUCAGUCCAGUGGUAGAGCCUUGCUCUCCUAGGCUCAUCCUGCUGGCGGUCCUCCUGCUUCUGCUGUGUGGUGUCACAGCUGGUUGUGUCCGGUUCUGCUGCCUCCGGAAGCAGGCACAGGCCCAGCCACAUCUGCCACCAGCACGGCAGCCCUGCGACGUGGCAGUCAUCCCUAUGGACAGCGACAGCCCUGUACACAGCACUGUGACCUCCUACAGCUCCGUGCAGUACCCACUGGGCAUGCGGUUGCCCCUGCCCUUUGGGGAGCUGGACCU
rnacentral:sRNA from 1 species